rnacentral:lncRNA from 1 species
GGAUCUGACAAAUCAAGACUCUCGCUAUCAUAAUCUGCGAGAACCCAUGGAAAUACCGGAUACUGCGUGAGAUCACUGUAUCCACGUCCUGCUAGGGUAUUGAGAUGCAUUAGGUAAUGGAAAUUGCUGAUUUCCCCAUUUUGCCAUCUUUUCGAGAAUGACUUUGCCAUUAAUCUGAAAAGGCGGCUUCCCUCGUUACUUUCCUGUUUUGCUGAUCCUGAAAUAGUUGUGUCGAGCCUGGGAAAAAAAUAACAGAAUAAAUAACAGUUUUGCAGAUCAAUGAAGACAGAAUCUAGUCUUUGAGAAGUAAGCUUAAAAAAGAACACCCAUCCCAUGCAACUCAUUGUCGUUGACUGAUAAACUUAUUCAUUAACCUAGUGAACAUUGAACUGCUAUAAAAUAUUUAAAAGAAACAACUGCAGUAUGCUCAACCCAGUGCGAGGAACAAACAGAAACGAGAUGAAAAUAACGAUAAUACCGUACAUGCUGUUCCUUGAAAGGUUCAUGGCAACCAGAUUUUUGAAAACUUCUUCCCUCUCUUUCUUGUGGAACACGAGGAGAUCAUUACAUCCAUCCAUGCUAAAUAUCUCAAUGGCAACCGGACGCAGCUGGUAAUCACGUUUUAAUAUUUCAUGAACAUUAUUAAGCUUCCACAUACGCCAAGGAUGCGGCAAGUUACCAGUCGUGCCCAUUUUUUCUUUUCCCCAAGCACCCCCACCAUAUGCCCAUGCUCUUCCGCCUACUGCUCUUCCCCCUAGAGCUCCCGUUUUCACUGCUGUCGUCCAAGAUGUGCUAGACUUGGACUGGAAAUCCAGGCUGCCGGAGGCAUCUUUUUUCACACCCAACGCUUGAUCAAUAACAGAUAACUCAUCUUCGCAUUCCUUCUCACAAAUACACCCAUCAUCGUCAAUAUAAAAGUUUUCUAUCACAUACAGACAGAACUCCCCUAUUAAGAAGAUUCCAUCAUGCUUGUCGAGAUCAACAACUCUCUCGCAGUUGUAUCUGAACCUAAUCUUUUCAAGAUGCUCCAGAUAAGGCCUGAUCAGAUACUCACCAUCAUCAUUCAGUUCCUUCUCUGAUUUUUCCUCCUCGCCUUUAGUUUCAUCCAUUUUAGCAGAAGAUGAAUGUCUUGGAGAGCCAGCCUCAGAUUUUGCAAGUGUGUUGUCUGUUAUUGGCACAGAUGCUGUACUAGAUUUGCCACCAAAGUCAAGAGCAGAAUGAAGACUUGCUUCGUUUGUACUACUAGCUCUAUCAUCAUUCCAUCCAUUUCUGGCAGAAGCGACAUCUUUAAAAUCAUCUGACUCUUUCACAAACGCCUCAUCAUAAAGUUCACUGAGCAGGAAAGCUGGUUCGGAAUCUGUGUCUGAAAUAACUGGCCCAUCUUCAUUUUUCACUUUGGUUCCCCGGUAAGGUCAUUUAUGUAGAUUGCUGAAAUGGGAACUGGGAAGUCAGGAAGCUGCCUCACAAAACUCAUCGAACUGAGAUCCCAUAUUAUAACUGUGCAAUCAUCUGACCCACUUGCGAUCAUCAUGUACGGUUGACUUACACGUAGACAUGUGACUGUAGCUGUGUGAGCACACAGGGCUUUUUCUAACCGUAAACGUCGUGAACUACGCGGGCCAUCCUUGCUUACUCUCCACACGCACACUAAACCAUCUUCUGCUCCAGUGACCACAAUGCGUCCAUCGUGACUAAAACCAGCACACUGGAUCUGGUUGCUUUCAUGGAGAUUUUCGUGAGUUGAUAGCAGUUUGUCCUGAUCAUAACUCAUAAAUCUCAAACUCCUGUCUGGGAACCCCCAUGUUAUGUAUUUGGUAUAGCCUCUGGGUUUCAGGAAGCAGUUAGCCCCGGCAACGAGCACCUUGUCGUGGAAAGUAGUGAUUUGGCUUAUAGAAGAUGGACAUUUACGUGUCUCGUGAGGAAUUAGAUGCAUCGAAUGUUUCAGAGGGUGGAGAGGAACUUUUCGGUCUGUUCUUCUUUUGACAUGAGCUUUCUGGAAUAGCUGCUUCGGAGUUUGUCCAAAAUGAUUAAUCUGCGCUAGUAUGGAAGCUUUCAAUGCGGGGUCGCUAACUGCAUCAAUAUCAACAUUUCCCUCGUACGUGUAAUGAUAGAAAACAUUUACAGCUUCUUCUGCAGCCUGAGAAUAAACAACAUUCCAAUAACGAAAAGUAAAUAACAUGGCAACACUUUUAGUUUCUGCAUUUUACUUGGCUAGAGGCAAAAUGAAAAGUGUACCUUUCCUCUCUGUUUGUACCCAAAGAUGAGAUCUAUCCAGUGAUGCAGAUUUUCUGAGACAUAAUCUGACUCCAACGCUUCUCUGUGCUUGAGGAUGAACUCACGUACACUACCUCUCGCCCACGGAGGUAAAAAGACAUCACCAACCUAAAAUUACGCAGAAGAAAUAAUAUAUAUCAACACUACAUGAAAGGAAAAUGGUACAUUCAAGCACCAUUGAAAGAACUGGAACCGGCACAAACCUUCUCUCCCGACUGUUUUUCACCCAAAUCAAGACUGAAUCUAUUUUCCAAAAACUCUGGCAUGUAGAAGAAUUCAGGAAUGAGUUCUUUUACGUCUGAUGUAUUUCCCUUUCCAGCUGCACUUAGCCAAGUAUCUUUUAUACUAUUGAAGAGUCUAUCAGCAUGAUCAAACUGACCGCCCUGCAGCUUCUGAUUUUCAGCACUGAACGGUGGGAGGCGAAGAAGGUAAAACAGAACAAUUCCAGCACUUGAAUAGUGAGAACCGUAAUGAAAUUUUGGAAUCUCAGGAUCAUCCCAGCUCUCAUAUCUGAAAACAGAGAAAGUAAAGAAUUAUGCCGCAUGAAACCAUAACUACUUAACAAGAAAAAUUAAGAUGUAUGACAAAGAACACAAGGGGAAGGUGCACUAUAAAAAAGUUUAAGAUGCACAGCACAAACCGUUUCCUAAAUUCUUCUUCUCCUUCAGGUGUCUGGCAACCCAUUGGCUUGUGAAGUUUGCGGAAAGUUUUUGGAUCUGACAAAUCAAGACUCUCGCUAUCAUAAUCUGCGAGAACCCAUGGAAAUACCGGAUACUGCGUGAGAUCACUGUAUCCACGUCCUGCUAGGGUAUUGAGAUGCAUUAGGUAAUGGAAAUUGCUGAUUUCCCCAUUUUGCCAUCUUUUCGAGAAUGACUUUGCCAUUAAUCUGAAAAGGCGGCUUCCCUCGUUACUUUCCUGUUUUGCUGAUCCUGAAAUAGUUGUGUCGAG